CGAAACAUAACUACAAAAAUUUGCAUUCUCAAAUGAGAUGCAAGUACAGGGUUCAGUUGGGAAUAAUGGCUAAACGACCCUGGAGUGGGAAAGCUAUAUGUUACAUGUCUCGAAACAUAAUUAAAAAAAAAUCUGCAUUCUCAAAUGAGAUGCAAAUACAUGGUUCUGUUGAGAAAAAUGGCUAAACAGACAUUGUGUUAUAUGUCCCGAUACAUAAUGCAAAGAUAUGCAUUUUAAAAUGAGAUAAAUGCGGAGGGUUUUUUCUGUUGGGAAUGAUGACUAAAGAUUCUCUGAAAUGGGAAUGCUAUCAGUUACAUGACACGAAACAAUGAAAAAUCUGCAUUUUCAAAUGCAAUGUAAAAUAGAGGCUCUGUUAUAUUGGAAAUAAUGGCUGAACAUACCUUAAAAUGUGAAUGCUAUCUAUUACAUGCCCUGAAAUGUAAUGCAAAAAUGUGCUUUUCAAAACGAGAUAAAGGCAGAGGGUUCGAAAUAAUGGCUAAAGAGACCCUAAAAUGGCAAUGCUAUCUGUUAUAUGUCUAGAAACCUAAUGAAAAUCAUGUAUUCUCAAAUGAGAUGCAAAUACAGGGUUUUCUAUUGGGAAUGGUGGCUUAACAAACGCUGGAAUGGGAUCUGUUAAAUGUCCCGAAACAUAAUGCAAAAGUAUGUAUUCUCAAAUGAGAUGGGUUGUUUUAUUGGGAAUAAUGGCUAAAUAGACCCUGCAAUGGGAACGCUAUCUAUUUACAUGUCAUGAAAUAUAAUGCAAAAAUCUGCAUUCGCAAGUGAGAUGCAAGCAGGUGGUCUGUUCUAUUUAGGAAUAAUAGCUAAACAGACCUUAGAAUAGGAAUGCUAUCUAUUACAUGUCCCGAAACAUUAAAAAAUGCAUUCUCAAGUGAGAUGCAAAUGUCAGGUUUAUUCUGUUGGGAAUAAUCGUCUCUUGAAUGGGAAUGCUAUCUGUUACAUGCACAACGAUGAAAAAUCUGCAUUUUCAUAUGAGAUGCAAAAUAGAGGGUCUGUUAUAUUGAAAAUAAUGGCUAAACAGACCUUGGAAUGAGAAUGCUAUCUGUCAUUCCCCAAAACGUAAUGCAAAAAUCUGCAUUUUAAGAUGAGAUAAAUGCAGAGGGUUUGUUCUGUUGGGAAAAAUGGCUAAAGAGACCCUGAAAUGGGAUUAUUACUAUCUAAUGCAUGUCCCGAAACAUGAGAAAAAACAUGUAUUCUCAAAUGAUAUGCAAAUACAGGGUAUGUUAUAUUGGGAAUGAUGGCUAAACCGAUACUGGAAUGAGAUUGCUAUCUAUUAAAUGUCUCGAAACAAAAGCAAAAGUAUGCAUUCUCAAAUGAGAUGGUCUGUUCAAUUGGGAAUAAUGACUAAACAGACCCUUAAAUGAGAUUACUGUCUAAUGUAUGUCCCGAAACAUAAUGCAAUAAUCUGCAUUCGCAAGUGAAAUGCAAACAGAUGGUCUGUUCUAUUUAGAAAUAAUAGCUAAACUGACCCUGAAAUGGAAACAGUAUAUGUUACAUGUUCCGAAACAUAAUUAAAAAAAUCUGCAUUCUCAAAUGAGAUGCAAAUACAGGGUUUGUUUUCCCAAUAGCUAAACAGACCCUUUAAAUAGGAACGCUAUCUAAUGCACAUCCCGAAAUUUUGGAGAACAGAGUGAUCGGUGCGCUAGCAUAUGGAACUGGUUAUGGUGCUCUGAACUGGACAGGGCCAGCCCUCAAAGUUGUGAAAGUUUGCAAGCCUUGUGUCAAAUGGGAUUAUGAUGGCCGGACCUAUGCGAUAGAUUGCUAUUUGAAGUUGCUUGUUAGGCUGUGCCAUAGUUAUGAUUCCCGGGGAGGAAUGAAACGACUUAAAGAUGGUGCGUCUCAGGAUCAAAUUUUAAAUAAGACGAGAUUGCAGGCAGCACGAACUUGUCAAGGAUCUCCAAAGGGUACUUGAUCACCAAACAAAUUUAUAGACUGUAAGAUGUGCAUGCAGUUUUAUUAUGUGCCCAGAGGAUGGGGUCUCAACAUGCAAGAGCUGGCCAACUGAUUACCAAAGAGCUUGAAGAGUACAGGAAUCAUGCUGUUGCUGAUACAGUUAGCAAGCUGCAAAGGAUUAAAUAUGCUUCAAAUCAUCCUGAAAACAAGUGACCUUUCUUUCUGCUUAGUUUGAUAUUGUGUUCUGCUUAAUGUCUCCUGCUUGCUGCAAGUGCUUGAAAGUACAAUGACUGAAACCCGUUGCGUAAUCUAGUAUGUAUGUUCGGUCCCUUUAAUUCCUAUGUCAUUCCUGGAAUGAAACAUAUAUAAACUUGUUGCU